UUCCGGUUGAUCCUGCCGGAGGUCACUGCUAUUGGGAUUCGACUAAGCCAUGCGAGUCGAGAGGGUUCGGCCCUCGGCUGACGGCUCAGUAACACGUGGAUAAUCUGCCCUUAGGUGGAGGAUACCCUCGGGAAACUGAGAAUAAUACUCCAUAGGUCUAGGAUGCUGGAAUGCAUCUAGACUGAAAACUCCGGUGCCUAAGGAUGAGUCUGCGGACUAUCAGGUUGUAGUCAGGGUAAAGACCUGACUAGCCUACGACGGAUAUGGGUUGUGAGAGCAAUAACCCAGAGAUGAUAUCUGAGACACGAUAUCAGGCCCUACGGGGCGCAGCAGGCGCGAAAACUUCACACUGUGCGAAAGCACGAUGAGGGAAUCCCAAGUGCCAGCUCGUAAGAGUUGGCUGUUUUUCUGUCUAAAACACAGAGAGAGUAAGAGCUGGGUAAGACGGGUGCCAGCCGCCGCGGUAAUACCUGCAGCUCGAGUGGUGACCGUUAUUAUUGGGCCUAAAACGUCCGUAGCCGGUUUAGUAAAUGCCUGGGUAAAUCGUGUAGCUUAACUAUACGAAUUCCGGGUAGACUGCUAAGCUUGAGACCGGGAGAGGCUAGAGGUACUCCUGGGGUAGAGGUGAAAUUCUGUAAUCCUGGGGGGACCACCAGUGGCGAAGGCGUCUAGCUAGAACGGAUCUGACGGUGAGGGACGAAGCCCUGGGGCGCAAACCGGAUUAGAUACCCGGGUAGUCCAGGGUGUAAACGCUGCUUGCUUGAUGUUAGUUGGGCUCCGAGCCCAAUUAGUGUCGGAGAGAAGUUGUUAAACAAGCUGCCUGGGAAGUACGGCCGCAAGACUGAAACUUAAAUGAAUUGGCGGGGGAGCACAGCAACGGGUGAAGCGUGCGAUUAAUUGAACUCAACGCCGGA
rnacentral:rRNA from 1 species